AAGGGUGCGUAGGCGGGUACGGUAAGUCAGUGGUGAAAUCCUGGAGCUCAACUCCAGAACUGCCAUUGAUACUAUCUAUCUUGAAUAUUGUGGAGGUAAGCGGAAUAUGUCAUGUAGCGGUGAAAUGCUUAGAUAUGACAUAGAACACCCAUUGCGAAGGCAGCUUACUACGCAUAUAUUGACGCUGAGGCACGAAAGCGUGGGGAUCAAACAGGAUUAGAUACCCGUGU
rnacentral:rRNA from 1 species